rfam:Astyanax mexicanus chromosome 17, whole genome shotgun sequence.
UCCCCACUUCAGCAGCACGUAAAUAUUGGUGUGUGAGAAAAUAAAGUCUAACCCCAAUAUUACUUGUGCUGCUUCAGUGAGGC